CAUAAAACCAAAAUGUUUAAAAAUCACUAUCUUACACAAGCACCGUACAAAGAUUAAAAUCAGGAAGUCAACACUAUCUGUGGGACAGACCUCAUUCUGAUUUCACUAGGUGUUCCCCAAAUCUCCUUAACAGCAACUAAACACCCGGAACAAGAAGUGGGGAGCCGCAGUUGCAUGGGAUGACCAAAGUUUCAGUUUCAAAAGAUGGGAAAGUUCUGGAUGCUGGUGGUGGAAGCAAACGAAGCGACUGUCCUUAAUGCCAGUGAACCAGAUGCUUCAAAAUGCCCCAUGGACUGCCAAGCUCCUCUGUCCAUGGGAUUUUCCAGCGUCUAUCACUCCUACUGGGUCCUAACAAGAAGGCAGAGCAUAUUUUUAGACCGAAGCAGCAGGCAGCAGAGGAUCAGUCCCCGGAAGAGGAAGCAGAAGCCUGGGGCAUGUCCCCUCCCUGCUGCGGCCUUGGGACGGGACUCGGCACAGUCUGCCUGCUGGGCAUUUGCAGGAGCAGGGCUGCGGGACUUUCAGCCGACCAGCCUUAGCCUGGAAGGUUCCAGCCCAAAGAAGCAGCCGAUUUCCCCCAGGGCGCAGACCAGGGAGGCUGGUCCCCAACGCCUUUCCAAAGCAGAGCACGAGAUGCU
ensembl:lncRNA